CCGUCAAUUCCUUUGAGUUUUAAUCUUGCGACCGUACUCCCCAGGCGGUCAACUUCACGCGUUAGCUACGUUACUAAGGAAAUGAAUCCCCAACAACUAGUUGACAUCGUUUAGGGCGUGGACUACCAGGGUAUCUAAUCCUGUUUGCUCCCCACGCUUUCGUGCAUGAGCGUCAGUGUUAUCCCAGGGGGCUGCCUUCGCCAUCGGUAUUCCUCCACAUCUCUACGCAUUUCACUGCUACACGUGGAAUUCUACCCCCCUCUGACACACUCUAGCCGUGCAGUCACCAAUGCAAUUCCCAGGUUAAGCCCGGGGAUUUCACAUCGGUCUUGCACAACCGCCUGCGCACGCUUUACGCCCAGUAAUUCCGAUUAACGCUUGGACCCUACGUAUUACCGCGGCUGCUGGCACGUAGUUAGCCGGUCCUUAUUCUUCCGGUACCGUCAUCCACACCCGGUAUUAUCAGGUGCGAUUUCUUCCCGGACAAAAGUGCUUUACAACCCGAAGGCCUUCUUCACACACGCGGCAUUGCUGGAUCAGGGUUGCCCCCAUUGUCCAAAAUUCCCCACUGCUGCCUCCCGUAGGAGUCUGGGCCGUGUCUCAGUCCCAGUGUGGCUGAUCGUCCUCUCAGACCAGCUACUGAUCGUCGCCUUGGUAGGCCUUUACCCCACCAACUAGCUAAUCAGACAUCGGCCGCUCCUAUAGCAUGAGGCCUUGCGGUCCCCCACUUUCACCCUCAGGUCGUAUGCGGUAUUAGCUAGUCUUUCGACUAGUUAUCCCCCACUACAGGGCACGUUCCGAUGUAUUACUCACCCGUUUCGCCACUCGCCACCAGGAUUGCUCCCGUGCUGCCGUUCGACUUGCAUGUGUAAGGCAUGCCGCCAGCGUUCANUCUGAGCCAGGAUCAAACUUUA
rnacentral:rRNA from 1 species